CGGAGGGAGAGGUGCUUGCACCUCGAACUUAGCGGCGGACGGGUGAGGAACGCGUGGGUAACCUGCCUCACACUGGGGGAUAACAGUUAGAAAUAGCUGCUAAUACCGCAUAAGCGCACGGUUCCGCAUGGAACAGUGUGAAAAACUCCGGUGGUACGAGAUGGACCCGCGUCUGAUUAGCUAGUUGGUGAGGUAACGGCCCACCAAAGCGACGAUCAGUAGCCGACCUGAGAGGGUGAACGGCCACAUUGGGACUGAGACACGGCCCAGACUCC
rnacentral:rRNA from 1 species